rnacentral:rRNA from 1 species
GAUGAACGCUGGCGGCGUGCCUAAUACAUGCAAGUCGAACGCGCAGCGAGAGGUGCUUGCACCUUUCAAGCGAGUGGCGAACGGGUGAGUAACACGUGGAUAACCUGCCUCAAGGCUGGGGAUAACAUUUGGAAACAGAUGCUAAUACCGAAUAAAACUUAGUAUCGCAUGAUAUCAAGUUAAAAGGCGCUACGGCGUCACCUAGAGAUGGAUCCGCGGUGCAUUAGUUAGUUGGUUGGGUAAAGGCUUACCAAGAUGAUGAUGCAUAGCCGGGUUGAGAGACUUUACGUGCCUAUUGGGACUGAGGAACGGCACAAACUGCUACGGGAGGCUGCAAUAGGGAAUCUUUCUAGAUGGGCGCAAGCUUGACUGAGCAACGCCGCGUGUGUGAUGAAGGCUUUCGGGUCGUAAAGCACUGUUGUAUGGGAAGAAAUGCUAAAAUAGGGAAUGAUUUUAGUUUGACGGUACCAUACCAGAAAGGGACGGCUAAAUACGUGCCAGCCGCCGCUGUAA